rnacentral:misc_RNA from 1 species
GAUGAAGAAACGUAGCGAAAUGCGAUAAGUAAUGCGAAUUGCAGAAUUCAGUGAGUCAUCGAAUCUUUGAACGCACAUUGCGCCCCUUGGCAUUCCGAGGGGCACACCUGUUCGAGCGUCAUUUCACCAGUCAAGCUUCGCUUGGUGUUGGGCCCUCUCGUCCCCGGUGCUCCCGUCCAUGGAGCGGGGGACGGGCCCCAAAGACCUCGGCGGCGCGGUCCUGCUCCGGUGCGUAGCGGCCUAUACCUCGCUCGUGGGGUCAGGACCGAUGCCUCAGCCGCUAAAAGUGGGGAAGGGGGACUCGCGCCCUCUCUCUCCCUCUCUCUAGGUUGACCUCGGAUCAGGUGGGGAUACCCGCUGAACUUAAGCAUAUCAAUAAGCGGAGGA